GAGUUUGAUCGUGGCUCAGAUUGAACGCUGGCGGCAUGCCUUACACAUGCAAGUCGAACGGCAGCACGGGAGCUUGCUCCUGGUGGCGAGUGGCGAACGGGUGAGUAAUGCAUCGGAACGUAUCCUGGAGUGGGGGAUAACGUAGCGAAAGUUACGCUAAUACCGCAUAUUCUGUGAGCAGGAAAGCGUGGGACCUUCGGGCCUCGCGCUCUUGGAGCGGCCGAUGUCGGAUUAGCUAGUUGGUGAGGUAAAGGCUCACCAAGGCGACGAUCCGUAGCAGGUCUGAGAGGAUGAUCUGCCACACUGGAACUGAGACACGGUCCAGACUCCUACGGGAGGCAGCAGUGGGGAAUUCUGGACAAUGGGGGCAACCCUGAUCCAGCCAUGCCGCGUGAGUGAAGAAGGCCU
rnacentral:rRNA from 1 species